rnacentral:rRNA from 1 species
GCCAGACUCCUACGGGAGGCAGCAGUGAGGAAUAUUGGUCAAUGGUCGGGAGACUGAACCAGCCAAGCCGCGUGAGGGAGGAAGGUACAGAGUAUCGUAAACCUCUUUUGUCAGGGAACAAAGACUGGGACGCGUCCCCGGAUGAGUGUACCUGAAGAAAAAGCAUCGGCUAACUCCGUGCCAGCAGCCGCGGUAAUACGUAUGGGGCAAGCGUUAUCCGGAUUUACUGGGUGUAAAGGGAGCGCAGGCGGCUUGGCAAGUCUGAUGUGAAAGGCUGGGGCUCAACCCCAGGACUGCAUUGGAAACUGUUAGGCUAGAGUGUCGGAGAGGUAAGCGGAAUUCCUAGUGUAGCGGUGAAAUGCGUAGAUAUUAGGAGGAACACCAGUGGCGAAGGCGGCUUACUGGACGACAACUGACGCUGAGGCUCGAAAGCGUGGGGAGCAAACAGGAUUAGAUACCCCAGUAG